rnacentral:rRNA from 1 species
AUUGAACGCUGGCGGCAGGCCUAACACAUGCAAGUCGAACGAGUGGCGGACGGGUGAGUAAUGUCUGGGAAACUGCCUGAUGGAGGGGGAUAACUACUGGAAACGGUAGCUAAUACCGCAUACCAUCGGAUGUGCCCACAUGGGAUUAGCUAGUAGGUGGGGUAAAGGCUGCCCUAGGCGACGAUCCCUAGCUGGUCUGAGAGGAUGACGCGUCACAUUGGAACUGAGAGACGGUCGAGACCUCUACGGGAGUCAGUAGUGGGGAAUAUGGCACAAUGGGCGCAAGCCUGAUGCAGCCAUGCCGCGGGUAUGAAGAAGGCCUUCGGUUUGUAAAGUACUUUCAGCGUGUAGGCGUUACCCGCAGAAGAAGCACCGGCUAACUCCGUGCCAGCAGCCGCGGUAAUUC